rnacentral:rRNA from 1 species
CCUACGGGCGGCAGCAGUGAGGAAUAUUGGUCAAUGGACGAGAGUCUGAACCAGCCAAGUAGCGUGAAGGAUGACUGCCCUAUGGGUUGUAAACUUCUUUUAUAUGGGAAUAAAAUGUUCCACGUGUGGGAUUUUGUAUGUACCAUAUGAAUAAGGAUCGGCUAACUCCGUGCCAGCAGCCGCGGUAAUACGGAGGAUCCGAGCGUUAUCCGGAUUUAUUGGGGUUAAAGGGAGCGUAGGGGGAUUGUUAAGUCAGUUGUGAAAGUUUGCGGCUAAACCGUAAAAUUGCAGUUGAAACUGGCAGUCUUGAGUACAGUAGAGGUGGGCGGAAUUCGUGGUGUAGCGGUGAAAUGCUUAGAUAUUACGAAGAAAUCCGAUUGCGAAGGCAGUUCACUGGACUGCAACUGACACUGAGGCUCGAAAGUGUGGGUAUCAAACAGGAUUAGAUACCCCAGUAGUC